UACGUAGGGUGCGAGCGUUAAUCGGAAUUACUGGGCGUAAAGCGUGCGCAGGCGGUUUUGUAAGCCAGAUGUGAAAUCCCCGGGCUCAACCUGGGAAUGGCAUUUGGGACUGCAAGGCUGGAGUACGGCAGAGGAGACUGGAAUUCCUGGUGUAGCAGUGAAAUGCGUAGAUAUCAGGAGGAAUACCGAUGGCGAAGGCAGGUCUCGGGGCUGAUACUGACGCUCAUGCACGAAAGCGUGGGGAGCAAACAGG
rnacentral:rRNA from 1 species